GACGUAGGUGGCGAACGUUAUCCGGAUUUAUUGGGCGUAAAGAGCGUGUAGGCGGCCAGGUAGGUCUGCUGUGAAAACUCGAGGCUUAACCUCGAGCUGUCGGCGGAAACCAUCUGGCUAGAGUCCGGAAGAGGAGAAUGGAAUUCCCGGUGUAGCGGUGAAAUGCGCAGAUAUCGGGAAGAACACCCGUGGCGAAGGCGGUUCUCUGGGACGGUACUGACGCUGAGACGCGAAAGCGUGGGGAGCGAACAGG
rnacentral:rRNA from 1 species